GGCCUUGACAUACUAAGAACUUUCCAGAGAUGGAUUGGUGCCUUCGGGAACUUAGAUACAGGUGCUGCAUGGCUGUCGUCAGCUCGUGUCGUGAGAUGUUGGGUUAAGUCCGCAACGAGCGCAACCCUUUUCCUUAUUUGCCAGCGGGUAAUGCCGGGAACUUUAAGGAUACUGCCAGUGACAAACUGGAGGAAGGCGGGGACGACGUCAAGUCAUCAUGGCCCUUACGGCCAGGGCUACACACGUGCUACAAUGGUCGGUACAAAGGGUUGCUACCUCGCGAGAGGAUGCUAAUCUCAAAAAGCCGAUCGUAGUCCGGAUCGCAGUCUGCAACUCGACUGCGUGAAGUCGGAAUCGCUAGUAAUCGCGGAUCAGAAUGCCGCGGUGAAUACGUUCCCGGGCCUUGUACACACCGCCCGUCACACCAUGGGAGUUUGUUGCACCAGAAGUAGGUAGUCUAACCGCAAGGAGGACGCUUACCACGGUGUGGCCGAUGACUGGGGUGAAGUCGUAACAAGGUAGGCGUAGAUGA
rnacentral:rRNA from 1 species